GGGGUUGUGGCUCAGCGGGAGAGCGCUCACCUCACAUGCAAGGCCCUGGGUUCGAUCCUCAGCACCACA
rnacentral:tRNA from 1 species